GCAUUUAAGACUUUGACCAGCAUGUGUAAGAAGUGCUCGCAUGGCUGGAAUAAUCUAACACAUUUUUACCUGGGCAACACUUGGCAAAGCUCCCCUUUUUUCCUGCACAGUUGAAAGGAAUCCAGUACAACUCCGUGCUUUGAUCAACUUGCCUCCAGUUCUGCUCAGCCUGCAGGGUUUGCUGGUGCACGGCCGUGCCUGUCUUAUGUGGCCUCUAUGGCCCUUUUCUGCUCAACUGUCAGAAAGAGGGAGGGAGGCUUCCCCCAGCACCAAAAUAUCAUUCUGUGUGCUCUCUGCAGCACAGUAGCAAAGAACAAGUUUCUUGAUUACUCCCUGGUCUUUUUGGAGUUAUUUGCUGGAAGAAGUCUUUUUUCCCUCUUUAAAUGGAUGAUUGUGUUACAAUCAAGAAAAAGCAUCUCCAAAGACCAAUCUUUCGUGAUUCCUCCCGACAGAAGAAUGAGGUACAAAUUCUUCUCUCACUGGUGGGAAAUCACUCCUUUUAAGAGCAGAUUUAGGAUCUUGAUGGACAGAGGACUUGCACUGAAGGUAGAAGUAGCUCUAUUAAGAUGCUUGGUGAAGCAACUGGAGAAAGGUGACAUCAAUGUGGUGGAUUUAAAAAAGAACAUUGAAUAUGCAGCAUCUGUGCUGGAGGCGGUUUAUAUUGAUGAAACCAGGAGGCUUCUGGACACUGAGGAUGAACUCUCGGACAUACAGUCGGAUUCGGUCCCACUGGAAGUGCGAGACUGGUUAGCUUCUACAUUCACAAGGGAAAUGGGAAUAGUGAAGCGGAGACCUGAAGAAAAGCCCAAAUUUCGAAGCAUUGUGCAUGCUGUACAGGCUGGGAUUUUUGUAGAAAGGAUGUACCGAAGAACUUCUAGCAUGGUUGGUUUGGCUUACCCAGCAGAAGUGAUUGUAACAUUUAAGGAUGUUGAUAAAUGGUCUUUUGACGUAUUUGCCCUAAAUGAAGCAAGUGGAGAACACAGUCUGAAAUUUAUGAUGUAUGAGCUGUUCACCCGAUAUGACCUUUUGAACCGUUUCAAGAUCCCUGUUCCCAAUCUUAUUACAUUUGCUGAAACUCUUGAGGUUGGUUACAGCAAAUACAAAAAUCCAUAUCACAACUUGAUCCAUGCAGCUGAUGUUACUCAAACUGUGCAUUACAUACUGAUUCAUACUGGUAUCAUGCACUGGCUCACAGAACUGGAAAUUUUAGCAAUGAUUUUUGCAGCUGCCAUCCAUGAUUAUGAACAUACGGGGACCACAAACAAUUUUCAUAUUCAGACAAGGUCAGAUGUUGCAAUACUGUACAAUGAUCGGUCUGUUCUUGAAAACCAUCAUGUAAGUGCUGCUUAUAGACUAAUGCAAGAAGAAGAGAUGAACAUCCUGGCAAAUUUAACCAAAGAUGACUGGAGGGAGUUGCGUAGCUUGGUCAUUGAGAUGGUCUUGUCAACAGAUAUGUCGGGUCAUUUCCAACAAAUUAAAACGAUGCGACAUACUCUACAGCAGGCAGAGGGGGUAGACAAAGCCAAAGCCAUGUCUUUGAUUCUACAUGCAGCAGACAUAAGCCAUCCAGCAAAAUCCUGGGAACUGCACUACCGGUGGACCAUGGCCCUGAUGGAAGAAUUUUUUCGACAGGGAGACAAGGAGGCUGCUUUAGGUCUUCAGUUUUCCCCACUCUGUGACCGCAAGUCUACUUUGGUAGCUCAGUCCCAAAUAGGUAAUGGCAAGUUGUGUUUUCCUUUUAAUUCCCUGUGUACAAGCUUGCAGUAUCACGCAGACCUUUCCUACACCCAUUAUGAAUUUUAAAUGUCAAAAAUCCCAUCAUAUAACAAGUAUUUCUUUGUACCUCUUUGUUCACCAAACUGCCCUUAAAGCAGCAAUGCACCUAUCUCAAAAGAAUAUGAAGUUAUUGAGCAUGUGUGAUGCCAGGGAGGUUUUAGGUAGCAGAGGAUUUUACCAAAGUACCAGAAAUGAGUCUAUCUUAUACUGCACACAUUUUACAGUUUAGUAGACCUUGCCCUCAAACAGGUUGACUCUUGUUCAGGAACUUGAAAGUCUGUCUGUGCUACAAUCUAAAAGCCUGGUACUGUUUUGUAGAUGCAUCUCAACUAAGGCUAAUUUUUACCUCAGAUGCCUGGACUGCAGAGAUCUGGCAUAGCACAGCCAAGCCUCCCUGCGCUGGCAAGGACCACUGCAUUCUAUUUUCAUCAAUUCUAAUUGCAUUUUGGUCAGCAAUAGCCAAACUUCUUUCCCAUUUUCAAAAAUACAUGUCUUAGCUAUCUCUACUCCCAUUUACUUCAGCAACAAUAAUGGAAUAAAAAUUGGUAAAAAUCACUGGGGCUAGUUAGAAGGGCAUAUCCUAGAUGUAUACUAUAUGAAGCCACAUGUAUUAACAGCUGUACAUGUUGUGUGAGUGAGUGCAGAACUCCUGCAGAGAUUCUACAGGUGAAGGUGUCUUAUCCUUGAAUUGAAGCAUUUCAUCCUGUCUGAUCUUGUCACUCAGAGCAUCCUUUAUUCCGUUUGAGCGGGAUUUGAAGCAUCAUACCUACUGCAGAAAGGAAGCUGGAUCCUAGGCUGAAACACCACUGCUCACCUUUGUACUGUUUCAUUGAUUUCAUAGUAGAACCAACAUUUUCUCUUCUUACGGACUCGAUGGAGAAAAUUGUUAUGCCUCUUAUAGAGGAAGCAUCAAAAUCUGAAAGUCCUGCAUUCGGGACACCUGG